CUACCCCAGGAGCUGACCACGAUGUCGGAUCAGGAUCUGAUCAGCUACAUCAACCCGAGCACCUUUGAUCAGCUUUAAACGGCUUCAGAUCAACAAAUUAAACUAUGUGGACUUGCUUUUUUUUUAUCAACGAUAAAUGUCACUCCUACACAGGCUUAGUCUUAAGUAUAUAUGUAGUAUAUAGAGAAACACACACAAACAAAAAAAAAACACAAACGAUAAGACGGAAUAAAGGUUUCAUGUGGACCAACUUUUUGACCAAGAGAAAGGAAUAAAAACGGGAUCAGAGAAUAAAAACCACAAACACAAACACAUUUGUAGCUUUAGAUUUGCUUACGUUUAGGCAUAAACCCUAUUUAAUAUAAUUACCUAAAUUUAAUGUUUUUUUUUGAUUUUUUUUGCUAUUUUAAUAUUGAUUUAAAAAAAAGGAUGAACUUAUCUCAAAAGGUUAAAUUAAAACAAUGAUAACGACUGCCAUAUACCUAUGAAAUAUGAAGUGAAAUCCCGAAAGUGAAGAAUGAAAACCGAAAAUGAAGAAUUCAGUUAUCAACCUUGAAAAUCGAUAAUUAUAGAAAGAACCAACUUUCAUAAAACAAAUGUUGAUUACGCUCUUUGCUGGAAGACCUAUUUUCAUAAUUAAGUCUGAUUUGAAAACUUCCUUUUUAUUUGUUUGAGAAUUUUAGGUAUAUUUUACAAUUAAAGCCUAACUAAACGUUUUGGCAGUAAAAUUAAGCUUAUUUAAUUUUGGGUCAAAAGAAAAACCACGAAAGGAAAUUAUUAUUAUACAGUUAAUAAUUUAUAAAAAAAAAAUACAUAUUAUGUGUAGCUACGAAUAUAAUGAAUAUGCGAGAAA
rnacentral:sRNA from 1 species